rnacentral:lncRNA from 1 species
AUCGCUGGUCCAUAAUCUGUACUAUUGACUGAUUUGUUGUUAAAAAAAACUUGUUUGUGAUAUCGGAUCUCGGGUCGAUAGUUUAGAAUGUUGGCCGGCCAAGCUAAUAAAAAAUGUAAAUUUUAUCAAACUGUAAAAUGACUUUGCACGUGUAUCAUAUUAUGAUAUGUUAUAAACAUGAUUUUUUUAUCAUGAAACCUGUAUGAAACUUAUGGUAACAUUGCAGAUCAUCUUAUUUACAGAACCAGUGUCAAAAAAAGACACUAAACGAAAACCUGAACAUGAAAUUGAAGAUCGGGGGCCUUUAUCCAUACAAACAGCAAGAAAAGGAAACUAUGAGAAAAUCAAGAAAAAAGGAGGAGCUGACAAUGAAUAUAGACGUAUUAAGGAAUCUACAAAAUACGAAGACAAUCAGCUCCCAGAUACAAAGGAUUACAUAAAUUUGGAAGUAUAAACAGAUUUAUGAAGAAUAAAUGAAGGGGGAGUUCUACGUUAAAACUGAAAAUGUAAUCUAGUAUAAUACAAACGUAUAUCUGUAUUAUGCUUACAAACGUUCACUUUGUCGGGGCAAUUAUGGAAGGCAGUUCUUGUAAAUUAUGAUUUUAUUAUGACGUGUGUUAUCAAUAUUUCAUCAGUUCGUUUCUGAAUAACACUAGUAUCUUUAUAACACUGGCAAUGAAAUCGAUGUUUAAUAAAACUAGCUGUCUAAUUUCCUUAGACAAUGCUCUUCUCUUAUAUUAAUAUUUAACUCCGCUCAAGAAUGAUUUUGCUUACAAUCAUUAGUGCAUUUCUACAAAUAACCAAUUUCUGUUUAUUGUACAUAUACACGAACAUUUUUUCGAAUACUGUUACGUCUAGGGUAACAAUUACUUGUUAAUUAAUAUACUUAAGGUAACACAAAAACAAACCAAGCAGGCAUUAACAAUAACAAAAUUUAUUAUGAAAAGUAACAAUUCAAGUAUCUUAAAAAUAUCAUCUAGCCGUAAAGUCCAAUCUUAUAUGCAAGAAUAGUCCAAAUCCUGUCCUAUUCGAAUCAGUAUAAAUUCCAAAAUAUUUCACACACAGUCCAAUCUGAAUUUAGUAUAUCGCAAGAAUAUAAAUCCUCCCUUCAAAGAUAAAUUUUCAAAUAAACAGUGUUAAUGUAAAUCCUUCAAAUGUUAAAUGUCCAAUCCUGUAAUAUUUUGUUAUUAUGAAAUACAGGACUGUUUUUCAAUAAGAUCUAACUGUAGGUUCUGCCCUGUCCUCAGACAGCUUCCUAUUUAAAGCAACAUAUAAGGUUCCAACACUUUCAUGUGUAACCAAGAAUAAACAAGAUUUACUGGGAAGAUCAAGAAUAACGCAGACUUUAAAAAAUGUAAACACCCUGUUUAUAGAACUUUCUAGAAAAGCAUAGUCUAUAAAUACCUUAUUGACACACAUGAUGUCUCCAAAUUAGGAUAGGCUUUAUAGUAAACAAUGGAGAAUGACAUGUACAUAACAAUACAUGUAUUUGAAAAACUAUAAUAAAGAGAUAAAUAAGCAUUACAUUUAUAUAUGCUGUUCCUCUGAAUCGCAACAACCUGUCCUAAACUAGAUAAUAAUGACUUUAAACUUUUUAGUCAGGUUCCUAGGCAGCAGAAUAAUUGAAAUAGGAAGAGUUUGUGUACAUAAAAAUGUUUCUGAUUCAGAUUAAAACAAUAUUCAUUUUAUUGUGUGUCGUCACGUGAAGAGUGACCAUCUGCCAUUUUAACAUUUGAUCGUGUUUUACAAUGUAACUGUAGUCUAUUUAAGCAAUGUCUUAGGAAUGAGCUCUAUUAUUUUUCAAUCAAGUUUUCUUAAAUAAACGUCACAUUGUAAAAUAGCCAACUCAAACAUUGCAACGAACAGCGUUUUGUUAUGCUGUUAUACAUUCAUAUAUUUCAUUAUCAAGAAAUGAAAUGUGUGCUCAAACAACAAUGGAAUUUACAUUAUUUUCCGUUGUAUUGACUGAAUAGGAUAAAAAGACAAUAAACUUCAAAAAAUGUUUAAUAGUCAGUCUUUACUGAUUAUUUUUUGUUGAAAAAACUGACAUUUGCGAUUUUUUUUAUGAAUGUGGGACAUAUUGCCUUGGCUUUUAAGAUUUAAAGCUUUUUGUCUUCUUUUAGUAAAUAUACUAGCUAAAUUAAGUUCAUUUGUAAUAUAAAUGAACGAGAUGUCAAAAUAUUUGCCUUCAUCGGUUUACUUCAAUCACCCCAUAUUCAAUUUUCAGGACUAUUUCCUUUUUUUCUUUUUUGAAAAUAUAAAUCAAACACAAACAUUUAUUGUGUAAGUAUUAAUUUUCCGUCUGAUAUACUGCUUUUAUUUCACAAAGGAUUACAAAACCUUGUAUUCAACUCCCAUAGGAUAUGGAAACAUAUUCAACAGUGGUGCUUUAGCCGUUAGGUCAUGCCGUCAGAAAUGAUGGUGCUUCGGCGUCCCAUGCGUCCAAGAGAAAGAAAGGUCAUAUAUACAUUAAGCGUUUUUCUAUAUUUUUUAUUUUCAACUGCUAUGAAAUGUAUAAAUAUGCAAUAAUGCAAAAUGAUGCAAAAAUAUUUUCUUUACCUUGCUUAUUGUGAAUUUAUGGAAUCGAGUCUGUAAAUGAAAUUUAAAAAAAAAAUCAUAUAAACUUAAUGGGAGAUAAUAAAAUUUACAAAAAUAUGUUUUACAAAGGAAUAUGCGAGCCAAAAUACAAAUCACAAAGUGCAUUAAUAUCAUAAAUUUUUACCAGAAGGUAGUUCUGCACGUUCGGAUCAAACAUUCUCUACAAUGUAGAAUUUGAUUAAACCCUGGUUUUUCAAAACUUCAGAAUAUAUACUUAGAAAUUUCAGCAAAUAAAAAAGAUAGGGUUGUUUGUUUGAUAUUUUACUAGAAUGAUUAAAAACAUGUAGACCUCACGCAAUUUGCUUAUGGGAAAAUCACAAAUUUCAUAACAUUUUCGCGAAUAGAAAUUUUUCUACAAAGUAAAUUUUAAUGAUACUUCUCAUAAUUGUAAAUAAACAUAUUACUUAUAAUAUUGUAAAAUAAAAUGUAUAAGUCCGAGUGCUUGAUUUUGAAGUAUUUGUCCAUGAUCAUGAUGAUUAAAGUUAUACGCUCAUUUCAAGCGUUAAAAGUGUCAGAUAUUUUGAUAUCAUAGUUUCACUUUAAAAAGAUAGUAACGUUGCCAUUGUAGUAUAUUUACACAUUACUCAAAAUAAUUUUCAUUUUUCCCUCCGCCGAAUCCAUGCUUUAUUCUACGUUAUCCGGAUAGAUGACGUUACGUCAUCACUUUCAAAUGUACAGAACUACAGAUUACGUAUAACGUGUACCUUGUGUUAUCCCCAAUUUUACCAUUUGUUAUUUUGAUGUAACUAUUGAUAUGCCACGCUUUAUAAUUCUUCAUGGUUGUUUUGUUUCAGUAAUUUUAAUUCUGAAACUCGCCUUUCUUAUAAAUGUUUAAGUAACUAUUUUUGAAGGUAGGUGAACAUGUAUGUUAACCUUAUAUAUAAAGGGGAAAUGAAGAUGUCCGUUAGUGGCCACAUUGUUGACAACUUGAAGUUAUCUAGUUCUCUCAGAUAAUCUUUAACCACCUCAAAAUAGAAGCAUAAAUCUUUAAUCCAAGCAGGUGUCAAACAACGAUCGAUCAAUCAGAGACAGUACCUAUUUUAAAUAUGGGUAUGAAAUAAGAUCAAAUUAUUUUUGACAAAUAAAUUCACAUGUCUAUAUAUGUCUCAAUAAAUAUAAUUAUAAUAUUGUAUUAACAUUUUAUAUUUUCAUAUAAAAGAAAAAAUGUGACCAAGGCAAUGUAACUGUUCCUGGACAAUGGUCCUAUAGAAUGUUCGCUAAAAUAUAAAACAGUGGAACAGUCUUACAUUGACAGAUUGCAUCUAUCUAAGCUCAGACCGGAACUCGAAUCCAUGGCCUCUCUACCAUAUCGUUGUAACAGCAUGUUUUAUCGUUACGUAGUGUAAGGGCACCCUUAAUCCCUACCUGGCAUCUUAACGUGAUCUGAAACACUAUUCUCCGGAUCAUCGAUGUAUUACCUUUGUUAGCUUACGGCUUUUUUUUGUUUACAUUAAGAUUUGAUAUAGUUUCCUCAACAUUUUUAAUCGAUGAAAUUACCAAAUCUUCUCUAAUGUGUUUCACACUUCACUUUUCUCUACUCUUUACCUAUUUUGGUAUUUUGUAUUUAAUUUCAAUGUACAUAUUGUUGAAUAGUUGAUGCAACCCGUCUGCUAUAAUUUUCAGUUACAGUUUCUGUUUGUUGUUGGCCUACUUUGCGAUGCAUGUCUCUAUGGAUGUAUUUGUGGUGUUCUGUGCGUCCGUGAAAUCUACCCUUACCUUACCACUAGUUUGAAACUUUCUCGGACGCAGAUGCAUUUCCGAGGAAGCGUAACACAUUUAGAUAUUAGGCUGUCUUCACAUUUGAGCAUUUGUGAGUUUGUAUUGCGUAAAAACAAUUUUAUCCAUCAUUUUGCAAACAUGAAUUUAAAUUUUCAUUCUGAAUACAAUUUUAACAUAAUAAAAAAAACAAAACAUUAAUGAAACUUAGUUGAUUUCAGUAUCGCGGUAGAUAAGGUGGGACAUGCAGAUGCUAUUGUUACAUAUGACAUACUUUGAAUUUGUCAGGGAUACAUGUAGGCCAUAUUAUUGUCUGAUUCUCAAUUUGUUAUUUCCUUCCACUUGUUUAUUGAACUGCAGUUAAAUGUAUAAAUAUUACCGUCGCGAACUACUUAAAGUGAUAUGACAAAGUAAAUUUUCAAAUCUCACAUGUAUGAUUUGUAUCUUAAUAUAGCCAUAAUCUUCCUAACCCAUUUUUUUGUAGAUAGAGGUAAAGUAUAAAUGAUAUCGCCUAACAUUGUCAUUUUAUUAACGGUGAAUGGUAUUUCAACUGAUUAUAGCAUGAUCACAUCGAAUGAUUUUUGUCUGGGUGCGUUACGAGGUUGUCAAGCACAAUGACAUGACAUGUCUUUACAAGGUAAUUGAGACAUUGAACAAACGCAUAUGCAGAACAAAACAACGUGCAUUCUAUUGAAACUAUUACACCAGACGCAUUGACCUUGAAAUACUACCCAACCAGCAAUAAAUCAACAACCAAGAAGGAAGUAUUGAUUGUACCUAACUUUGUUAUAUCGUCUGAUGACAGAAAUACACUGGGAUUUUCUCAAUAUUGUCUAUGAUUUUACUGGCGUUCUUUCAAUAACUCUACCCUUUUUAGGAAACAGUGUAUUUUUGUAUUAACGAUAUGAAAAACAAUUUGAAAGUAUUUGUGAAUGUAAUUUUCAUCAUUUAUGGCAAACAUGUGUCUUAAUUUUUUCAUGUCUUGAUAUGGUCCCUAUUUGAAGAGAUUACCUAACUUAAUGCUGUUUUGUACAGCUAACUUGUA